UAAAAAACAAUGAUUAGAGAGUCAAUUACAUUAUCUGACUAAUAAGAUCUUUAUUUGUCACAGAUGAGUUCAUUGUAAAUAAAAAGGUCCUAAAAUUAUUUGUAAGAAUCAUCGCGAGUACUCAACUAGUUACAUGAUAAAAGACGAUGAUAAGAGCUAAUACGGUACCUACUUCAAGUAUCUUCAUCUUCAGAUAGGGAAGAUCAGAUAAAUUUUCGCAGAAAGCUGCAACUUCUUCACUGCAUGAAUGUCCAAAAUUCUUCAGUGUAGCCGUUCACUUCUUCAUUGUUGCUUACUCGGACAUUCUACGAUUUCGAUUCAGCCACUGUAUAACUAUGACAUUAGCAAAAUUCUUGUUGGUUAAUCUCAUAAUUACAAGAUAUAUUAAAUCUUUACUCUGUCCUUUUUAUGUUUCUCAUUUUAAAAUGAAUCAAAAUCGUAAACACAAAAGGACAGAAUAAAGAUUUCA
rnacentral:lncRNA from 1 species